rnacentral:rRNA from 1 species
GACGAACGCUGGCGGCGUGCCUCAUACAUGCAAGUCGAGCGGAUGUAGCAAUACAUCAGCGGCGGACGGGUGAGUAACACGUGGGCAACCUGGCCUUAAGAGGGGGAUAACGUCCCGAAAGGGACGCUAAUACCGCGUAAAUCAACGAGAUCGCAUGAUUUUGUUGGAAAAGGAGCAAUCCGCUUAAGGAUGGGCCCGCGGCCUAUUAGCUAGUUGGUAGGGUAACGGCCUACCAAGGCGACGAUAGGUAGCCGACCUGAGAGGGUGAACGGCCACACUGGAACUGAGAAACGGUCCAGACUCCUACGGGAGGCAGCAGUAGGGAAUAUUCCGCAAUGGGCGAAAGCCUGACGGAGCAACGCCGCGUGAGUGAAGAAGGUUUUCGGAUCGUAAAGCUCUGUCAACAGGGACGAAACAAGACGGUACCUGAGAAGGAAGCCACGGCAAACUACGUG